GAUGAUACCACUUCCGAACUUAUCACAAAAGUCAUGAAUUCAAAAAACAAAUACAUACGAUAAAAUCUAAAUUCGCCGCUACACUAGUAGUUAUUAAAGUAUUGUUAUCAUUGUUGGAUCAUAGUCUUGAUUUUCUCGUGACCCGUGAAAUUAAGACAUCUCGCCCAGGAAUCAUCUCGUUCGGUUAAACGCAAUUGCAAUUAUUGAGUGUAUUUUAUUUUUUAUCUGGAUUUGUAAAGUAAUAAAACAGUUCUAUUACUA